rnacentral:lncRNA from 9 species
GGAGAGAAGGCACCGGAAGGGAGAGGCAGAAGCCGUGGAGCCGGGGGGGCGGCUGCUGAAGAGAGAGGGGAGGGGAAGUUGAGUGAUGGCCUGAGAAAAGGCUACGAAAAAGAAAAAGGCGCCCUUCUGGGCAGAAGACUUAGAGGAAAAUGGUGCCCUCAUUGGGCGAGGUGGGGUCCGAAUGAGGGGAGGAGGCCGAGGGGCACCCGUGUGCCAAAGUGAGGGGGACGAGGCCCGCCCUGACCUGAGAGGACCGAUGGUGUGAGGGGAAGAAACCGUGCCACCACCCUCGAGCCUAAGGGAAUGAAUUCGAGUGAGCUCUUCAGGAAAGUACUCCAGGAACUGAGUCAUAACAGGAGUUUCACAGAGGAUUUUAUACCUUUGGGCUGUGGCAGCAUGUGGUAAGAGCACUGGGUGUUCAUGUUCUCAGGUCUUAUGAAAAUAAAAAACAUUACUGAAAUAUUAAUAUCUUAUAGAGUCAUCUAUGGCAAGAAUUUUAUUAAACUGCUUUAUUAGUUCACGAAGAAGAUAUUUAUUGAACACCUCUUAUGUGCCAUGCAUUGUUCCAGGUGCUUGGGAUAUAUCAGUCAACAAAAAAGACAAAAAUGUCUGUCUUCAUGGAGUUUACAUUCUGGUAUUCCAUUUCACAUGUAUGAUAUUUGCUAGAGCUUAUAUUACAAAGUACCACAGACUUGAUGGCUGAAAACAACAGAACUUUAUUUUUCUUACAGUUUUGGCUAUGGGAAGUCCAAGAUCAAGGUUCAACAGAGCUGGUUUCUUCUAAGGGGUCAGAGGGAAACAUCUGUUUCAGGUCUCUCUCUUUGAGUUUUAUGAGACUUAUAUGUCUUCUUGUCUUUACAGUGUCAUCUCUCUGUACAUGUCUACGUCCAAAUUUUCUUUUCUUUUAAGGACCCCAGUCAUGUUGGAUUAGAGCCCACCUUAAUGACUGCAUUUUAACUUAAUUACCUCUUAAAGACCCUACCUCUAAAAACAGUCACAUGGUACUGAGGGUUAGGAUUUCAACAUAUGAAUUUUGAGGGAACAGAAUUCAGCCCAUAAAACCACAUAUGACAGUGGUGUGUCCAAAUCUUCGUCUUGCCUGUUUUCUCAUAUCGAUAUCUCUGAGGUGUUCACAGUCAUUUAUGUUUCCCUGCAAAUGGUAUCCAGGUAAUCUGUUAUUACAAGUGAUUAUUUUUCUAAACGUGAUUUAUUUUUCUUAAAUGAUAAAAGGUAAGUACUUGGUUAGGAGAUACUCUGCUAGGAAUGUUGCUCCAUCUAGUGACCACCAUAUUCAACUACUUUGGUCAAAGUUAUAAAAAUGAAUAAAGGGAACUGUGUUGGAAAGGGGUUCUCUUUUCAACGUGUUAUUAUUUCCUCAGCACUAAGGAUUCAUGAUAGAAAAUAUUUUUUUCCACUGUUAUAUGUGGAAAGAAAGAGAGGUCUACAUAAUACAUUAUUUUUAAUUAUUCAAGUAAUAGCAAUAUUAUCAUUUACUGUCACCAUCAAUUACUGUUUACCUAUAUCUUCAUGAGGAAGCUGAGACUGGGUUUAAUCCCUUGCCCAAGGACUCACAGAUUAUAAGUACCGUUUCCUCCAAGUCUAUGUGACUCCAGAGUGUAAGCCCUUAA